GUGGGGAAUAUUGGACAAUGGAGGCAACUCUGACGCAGCCAUGCCGCGUGCAGGAAGAAGGCGCUACGCGUUGUAAACUGCUUUUAACCGGGAAGAAACCCCAGGACGUGUCCUGGGUUGACGGUACCGGAGGAAUAAGCACCGGCUAACUUCGUGCCAGCAGCCGCGGUAAUACGAAGGGUGCAAGCGUUAUCCGGAUUCAUUGGGUUUAAAGGGUGCGUAGGCGGAGCGUUAAGUCAGUGGUGAAAUCCUGCAGCUUAACUGUAGACUUGCCAUUGAUACUGGCGCUCUUGAGUGCGCUUGAAGUGGGCGGAAUGUGCCGUGUAGCGGUGAAAUGCUCAGAUAUGGCACAGAACACCAAUUGCGAAGGCAGCUCACUAAGGCGAUACUGACGCUGAGGCACGAAAGCGUGGGGAUCGAACAGGAUUAGAAACCCGUGUAGUCC
rnacentral:rRNA from 1 species